UACGAAGGGGGCUAGCGUUGUUCGGAAUUACUGGGCGUAAAGGGCGCGCAGGCGGCUCUUCAAGUCAGAUGUGAAAGCCCCGGGCUCAACCUGGGAACUGCAUUUGAGGCUGGAGAGCUUGAGUUCGGGAGGAGGAGAGCGGAAUUCCCAGGUGUAGAGGUGAAAUUCGUAGAUAUUGGGAAGAACACCGGUGGCGAAGGCGGCUCUCUGGACCGAUACUGACGCUGAGGCGC
rnacentral:rRNA from 1 species